rnacentral:rRNA from 1 species
UACAGAGGGUGCAAGCGUUGUUCGGAAUUAUUGGGCGUAAAGCGCGUGUAGGUGGCCUGGCCAGUCCGUCGUGAAAGCUCUCGGCUCAACCGGGAGAGGUCGAUGGAAACUGCCAAGCUUGAGGACGGUAGAGGGGGGUGGAAUUCCUGGUGUAGCGGUGGAAUGCGCAGAUAUCAGGAAGAACACCCGUGGCGAAGGCGGUUCUCUGGGACGGUACUGACGCUGAGGUGCGAAAGCGUGGGGAGCAAACAGG